rnacentral:rRNA from 1 species
CCUACGGGGUGCAGCAGUGAGGAAUAUUGGUCAAUGGGCGUAAGCCUGAACCAGCCAAGUCGCGUGAGGGAUGAAGGUUCUAUGGAUCGUAAACCUCUUUUAUAAGGGAAUAAAGUGUGGGACGUGUCCUGUUUUGUAUGUACCUUAUGAAUAAGGAUCGGCUAACUCCGUGCCAGCAGCCGCGGUAAUACGGAGGAUCCGAGCGUUAUCCGGAUUUAUUGGGUUUAAAGGGGGCGUAGGCGGCCUUUUAAGUCAGCGGUGAAAGUCUGUGGCUCAACCAUAGAAUUGCCGUUGAAACUGGGAGGCUUGAGUAUGUUUGAGGCAGGCGGAAGGCGUGGUGUAGCGGUGAAAUGCUUAGAUAUCACGCAGAACCCCGAUUGCGAAGGCAGCCUGCCAAGCCAUGACUGACGCUGAUGCACGAAAGCGUGGGGAUCAAACAGGAUUAGAUACCCCAGUAGUC